UGGAACCAACAGAGGAAUACAUAUGCCCAAACAAGGGAAACUUAAGUCGGCGGACAAACUAAAAGUCCCCGAAAAUAUUGCCGAAGGAAAAAAGAAAUUCCCCGGGAAACUAAGCCCUAUCGAAGGGAGACAAAGUUGAACUGAACUAGAAAUACAAAGCAGAUAUCAUCAAACCACAAUCGAAGGAGGACGAAUUGUCGGCACCUACUUAUCAUCUUCUUUUUCAGAGCAAAUUCCACUCUUAUUCGAUAACCUAGGAUUUCACUCUUUUUUCAAAAAAUUCACAAAAUCGUUGUCAUAAGGAGCUGAUAGUUCAAUCGAUUUCUUCAUCUGCUCCAAAGAAUAGAUCAACGGUACACCGGUUGUUUGCUACGAAUUCCACCGUUUCAACAUCUCUCACAUGAGAACUAAAUCAGCUGUGAAUAGAAGAUUUCAUCACAAAUCGUCCAUAACCCCAAAUCCAAACGAUUCUUCUUAUGGAUCUAAGGUAAAGUCUUCGAUGGCUACCAAAAUCCCUUGUUUCGGCCUUAUACCCUCCACAAGUCUCUUAAACACAUCAAAAUCUCGGUGCCAUCAUCAGCUUCCAAGAGUUUCAUACUCUGUUUCUUCUCCGCAUUCUCUCAAGCUAAUGACUUCAAGAAAGGUGAUAGCAAUGGUUUGUGCAAGUUCCAGAGAGUUGGAGAUGUCAAAUUUAACAGCAUUAUCGCCUUUGGAUGGACGUUUUUGGAGGAAAUUUAAGGAAUUGGCUUCUUCUAUGAGCGAGUUUAGGUUGAUCUAUUUCCGAGCACUUGAUCAAAUGGCUUCCUAAGCUUUCAAAUACACUCUCAAAGUCACUGAAGUUCCAAGCUUUAGCAAAGAAGCUCAGAUUUACUUGCAAGGCAAUGGAAGUUAAGAAGAUGGAUUUAGCAUGGAUGAUGUAUUGGAAGUUAAGAAGAUCGAGAAAGUAACAAAUCACGAUGUGAAAGCUGUGGAUUAUUUCUUAGAUCAAAAAUGUGAAUCACAUCAAGAUAUUGCUAAGGUCUAGAAACUAUUCUAUCACAAAGUAUAAAGAUAAGUACUCCUCAACUUUAUAAAUUUUUAUCAAAUUGUGCAGAUGUUGUUUAGAAAACGAAUUGGUAGUCAUUGCCAUAUAGCUUAUUGUUAUACAUGAAUGGUAGUAAGUACUGUUAUAUGUAGCUAAUUGCCAAUAAUUUCCGCAGAACAAAAGUCAUGGAAGCAACAAAUGGAACUAAGUUUAAGAAUAAGCAAGGAUCAUAAGUUCCAAGAUAAAAUUUCGGAGGUAUCCGAUUGCAACAAAAUCGGGUCAAAUGUAUGCAAAAAAACCUACCCACCAAUAACAUAAGUUGUAAAUACUUCUCAACCCCAAGAUUUAUUUGCUAAAUGUACUCCAAAAAUGUAUAUAUUAAAUAUGGAAUACCCAGUAUAUGUGUUGUGUUAUGUUAAAUAUAAUCUAACCCA